AUUGAACGCUGGCGGCAGGCCUAACACAUGCAAGUCGAGCGGACGAAGGGAGCUUGCUCCUGGAUUCAGCGGCGGACGGGUGGGUAAUGCCUAGGAAUCUGCCUGGUAGUGGGGGAUAACGUCCGGAAACGGGCGCUAAUACCGCAUACGUCCUGAGGGAGAAAGUGGGGGAUCUUCGGACCUCACGCUAUCAGAUGAGCCUAGGUCGGAUUAGCUAGUUGGUGGGGUAAAGGCCUACCAAGGCGACGAUCCGUAACUGGUCUGAGAGGAUGAUCAGUCACACUGGAACUGAGACACGGUCCAGACUCCUACGGGAGGCAGCAGUGGGGAAUAUUGGACAAUGGGCGAAAGCCUGAUCCAGCCAUGCCGCGUGUGUGAAGAAGGUCUUCGGAUUGUAAAGCACUUUAAGUUGGGAGGAAGGGCAGUAAGUUAAUACCUUGCUGUUUUGACGUUACCAACAGAAUAAGCACCGGCUAACUUCGUG
rnacentral:rRNA from 1 species